UACGGAGGAUGCAAGCGUUAUCCGGAAUGAUUGGGCGUAAAGGGUCCGCAGGUGGCAGUGUAAGUCUGCUGUCAAAGAAUGAGGCUUAACCUCAUCAAGGCAGUGGAAACUACACAGCUAGAGUACGGUCGGGGUAGAAGGAAUUCCUGGUGUAGCGGUGAAAUGCGUAGAGAUCAGGAAGAACACCGGUGGCGAAGGCGCUCUGCUAGGCCGCAACUGACACUGAGGAACGAAAGCUAGGGGAGCGAAUGGG
rnacentral:rRNA from 1 species